AGAGCGAACGCUGGCGGCAGGCCUAACACAUGCAAGUCGAGCGCCCCGCAAGGGGAGCGGCAGACGGGAGAGUAACACGUGGGAACGUACCCUUUGGUUCGGAACAACACAGGGAAACUUGUGCUAAUACCGGAUAAGCCCUUACGGGGAAAGAUUUAUCGCCAAAGGAUCGGCCCGCGUCUGAUUAGCUUGUUGGUGAGGUAACGGCUCACCAAGGCUACGAUCAGUAGCUGGUCUGAGAGGAUGAUCAGCCUCACUGGGACUGAGACACGGCCCAGACUCCUACGGGAGGCAGCAGUGGGGAAUAUGGACAAUGGCGCAAGCCUGAUCCAGCCAUGCCGCGUGGAUGAUGAAGGCCCUAGGGUUGUAAAGUCCUUUCGACGGGGAAGAUAAUGACGGUACCCGUAGAAGAAGCCCCGGCUAACUUCGUGCCAGCAGCCGC
rnacentral:rRNA from 1 species